AGCAUAGAUGGUAAGAAAUUUAAGUUGUUCAACACCUGUAAUCAUCCUUAACUGCUUUUGGAAGAAGUAUAACCUCAAUGCCAAAAACAGAACUCGUUCCUAUCUCCUUCAUGACCUGAGUGGGUACAAAGGCAGAGAAAAACCAGUAACUUCCCCAAUCUGAAGAGCCUGGGUUUCUGUGAUUCAAGGUACCACUUCUAAGCCUGGAAACUUACAAAAAGGAUGAAGGCUUUCAGCAACUGAUUUGAUUCUCUUCUAAAUUAAUUAUGCUAAUUUUAAACGAAUGUGUCUUAAGCCCAGAGUGUUCUCCACAAUUCUAGGGCUCACUGAAAACAAAAUUAGCAUCCCUGCAGGUAUCCCUCCCCUCUCAAGGCCAUUUGUCUUGUCACAUCCGCUGCCCCUCUUGGGUUUUUGCAUAGAUAUCUGAAAUCAGCCAACAAGGAAGAUAAAAAUCUUAGCAAUUCAACGGUUGACAUUCUCACUGGAGGCACUUAGAAAAACAGACUCAAGGGCAGCCUAAUCCCUGACAUCACAGGGCACAUCUCUGAGAUGAAAACCUACCCCUCCUCCCCCACAUCCCCUUCAGUGAUCCCUUGAAGCCUCUCCAAUGAUGAAGCCCUAAAGUGCUGACAUGACCUCAAUACUAUGGCAUCAUUUCAGUAAAACGCCAAGGAGAGAGGCUGACACGUUCCUGCCAGCGAACUGUAGGUCAGCAAACACGCCCUUGCCCUGCCCUUUCACAAAGCAGAGAUCAGUCUCUUUCAAAAGUAAAGAUUCCCCACCGCCCCACUCCUAAGAGAACUCUGUAGAAGAGAGGGGAGCGCGCAACCUGAAGAAAGUCACUGCUCAGCACCCUCAGGUACUACCACAAACUAAAGUGAUACUUAGAGCAUCAGGGUGCUCGCAAUUGAUGUAUAUUUGGGGAUCCAAUGCUCCAGAACAUCAUCCCUAUCUCCUAUCUCUCACUCUGUCGUGGACCACGCCAACUCCUCAGCUCAUUCCUUUCCUAUCUUCUGGGAAUAGCCAGAGGUUUUUCACCACGAGCGAGACACGGGGAAUCUGAAUCAACUUCCUUUCCCCAAGUCUCCUGGGCUCUUCCCAGGCAGCAAAAAUCCAAGUUUCCCCAUGCGUCACCUGAAGCCCCAACUUCUGGAAACGCCCCCCUUACCUCGCCUCCGAGAGCUGGCACCGCGGCAAGAGGCGGGCACGCAGCCGCCGGCGCCGCCGCUGCCACUGUCGCCGCCGCAGCCAGGGAGGCGAGGAGUCUCGGGCUGGUCUUCGGCCCCGGAGCCACCGCACCCUAGGCCGUCCGCCCUAACACGAUAACCCGGGCGCCUCGUCUCCGCAGGGAGUGAGCACCCGCGCCCUGGGGGGCGCCCAGGCAGAUCCCGACGCCGGCAAAACGCUCCACACCCGCACCCUGCCGGGGGACGCGUCCAAGCGCACGGCUCGGGUGGAGCGCCCGGGUGGCCGCGGCGGCAGGAGAGGGGCGUGUUCCUUGCGCCGGCGGGACCCGGGAAGGAGGCGAGCCUAGCGCGCAGUCCCCGACGGCGGCUCUCGGCCCUCAAUGCCGGCCAGCUGGCCUGACGACGCGCUGCAGCCCGCGCGCCCUUGCGGGGACAGGCGCCGUGCGCGCCCCACGGGGCUGCCUCCGUGCCGGCCUGGGCGCGCAAACUUUCUGGGCGAAAACCGCUCCAGCCUCUCCGGCGGGGACGCCGCGCUCUCCCCGGGGCCCACCAACUGUUCGCCCCCUCCCCUCCGUAGCCAAGACCCACUGAAAAUAUGGCGCCCUCGAAUGUCGCUCCUCGGUCCCCUCGGGGGAUCUCGAAAUGCCAGGCUCCAGGACCCCUGGCUCCCGGCAGGCGCGAAAUUUCAGCUCCUGAGGCCGAAGUAGGGGAGGGUGCCCCUCGUCCAACGCGAGGCCAGCGGCACUCAAUCCCAAUCCUCCCCUCGCUCCUGGUCCCUCAGCAGCCAGCAGUUUGCUUGCGGCGAGAAUGCCAAGUAAAGGGGAGUCGUGGAAUCAGCAGGUCUGAGAGUCCGGGACUGGGAAAAGAGCUCCGCACCAGCCGGCAGUCUUGCUUGGAGCCUGGCUGGAGACUUGUUUGCAAAGUGGCGCUAGAGUCGGGGCGACCAGUGCUGGAAUGAAGCCGCUCCGCCCGCGCCAACUCUCCCGGCGCGGGGGCCCGGCCGGGGCCGAGGGGACACUGCGUGCAGGCGGGGCCGCUUUUCAAAGCCCAGUUACCGGAAACCUAGCGGGAGCCCCGGAGGGGACCGGCUGCUCACAGCUAGGUAUCUGCUCGCCGGCUACGAGGCUGUUUGCAAACCGCGGCGCCCAGGUCCAGUGCAGUGAAACAUAAUGUGCAAUAGACAGGUGCAUUAAUUUUAUUUUAUUUUUAUUUUCCUGCAAAAAGCCCUCCUAAAACAUCAAACCUGAGAGCUUUAAGGGGUUUUUUCUGCAUUGCUAUCACUCACGAGAUGCAAAAGGAAGGGGUAAACCACCCACAUUUUCCUUCUGUAGAUGGGAGGGAAAAGACACGAGAAAUUCAUGCAACAUGCAUGCAGGUGGAGGAAGAGGAAAACCCGAGUGAGCCGUGCGCCUUACCGGGGAAUGCAUUUACUGUCUCAUUGCAGAGCGCCUGCCCGGGAGUGCAGCCGGCGUCCCCCCGCGCGCCCGGCGACCGCUCUGCUCCCGCAGCCGCCUCAGCCGCUGCCGCCGCCGCUGGCUCCAGGCGCGGA
rnacentral:lncRNA from 1 species